AAUUAAUAAAUUAUAUUUUUUAUAUUUAAAAUUUUUUUUUAUUAAUAAAAAUAUUUUUAUUAAAUUUAUAAUUUUAGUAUUGUUAAAAGAAAAAAUAAUUUAAAUUAUAGUUUAAUUGUAUAUUGAUAGAAAUUUGAAAUAUUUUGAAAAAUARAAUUUUUAAAAAAGUAUAUUUUAUUUAUUGUACCUUGUGUAUCAGGGUUAAUUAAAAAAAUAAUAUAAAUUAAUAUUUUUCUCGAAUUGAAAAGAUCUAUUUAAUUUUAAAUUACUUUUAAUGUUUAAUAAUUAUUUUUAAUUUUUAAAUAGAAAUGAAAUGUUUUUCGUUUUUUAAGUUAUCUAGUUUUUUGAUAAAUAAAUUUAAUUUAAAUAUCAUUAAUUAAUUAUUUUAAUUAAUAAAAAUAAUUAUUUUUGAUAUAAAAGUUUUAAGGGAUUAGCUUUAAUUCUUAAUUUUAUAAUUGAUUUUAAAUUAUAUAAUUAUAUUUUAGGCUUAGAAUUAGUUUUAAUUUGAAAAUUGUAAUAAUUUUAUAAAUUAUAUAUAUAUAUAUAUAUAUAUAUAUAUAUAAAUUUUAUUUUUAAUUUAAUUUUUUAUUAAAAUAAUUUAAUUAAUAAUUAUUUAAUUUAAAUGAUGAUUAAAUUAGUAAAUAUUAUAAUUAUUUAUAAAUACAAAUUUAUAUGAAAGUUAAUUAUAAGGAAUUCGGCAAAAAAUUAAUUCGCCUGUUUAACAAAAACAUGUCUUUUUGAUAAAACAUAAAAAGUCUAAUCUGCUCAGUGAAAAUUUUAAAUAGCCGCAGUAUUCUAACUGUGCAAAGGUAGCAUAAUAAUUUGUUCUUUAAUUUAGGACUGGAAUGAAUGAUUUGACGUGAUUAAGACUGUCUUAUAAUUAUUAAUUAUUGAAUUUAAUUUUUGAGUUAAAAAGCUUAAAUUUUAUUAGAGGACGAGAAGACCCUAUAGAGUUUUAUAAUUAAAUUUAUUUUAUUAAUUAAUUUAUUUUUAUGAAAUAAAUAUGAUUAUUUUGUUGGGGUGAUAAUUAAAUUUAAUAAACUUUUUAUUUUAUUUUACAUUAAUUAAUGAAUUUUUGAUCCUAUAUUUUAGAUUAUUAGAUUAAAUUACCUUAGGGAUAACAGCGUUAUUUUUUUUAAAGUUCUUAUUGACAUAAAAAAUUGCGACCUCGAUGUUGGAUUAAAAUUUAUUUUGGGUGUAGAAGCUUGAAAAUUUAGGUCUGUUCGACCUUUAAAAUUUUACAUGAUCUGAGUUCAAACCGGUUUAAGCCAGGUUGGUUUCUAUCCUUAAUUUUAUUAAAAAUUUUUAGUACGAGAGGACCAUAAUUUUGAAUUAUUAUAAUUUUAUUUAAAAUGAAUUUUAUUAAAUUUGUUA
rnacentral:rRNA from 1 species